CACGUAUAGGAGGUCUUGCCUGCCCAGUGACAAGUUAAACGGCCGCGGUAUUUUGACCGUGCGAAGGUAGCGCAAUCACUUGUCUUUUAAAUGAAGACCUGUAUGAAUGGUGGAACGAGGGCUUAACUGUCUCCCUUUUCAAGUCAAUGAAAUUGAUCUACCCGUGCAGAAGCGGGUAUAAAAAUACAAGACGAGAAGACCCUUUGGAGCUUAAGACAAAAGAUCACCUACGUCAAGAACCUAAAAAUAAGUUAAACUAAGUAAUUACUGAUCCUAGUCUUCGGUUGGGGCGACCACGGGAGAAAAUAAAGCUCCCACGAGGACUGGGAUAUUCCCUAAAACCAAGAGAAACAUCUCUAAGUAUCAGAACCUCUGACCAUUAAGACCCGGCAGCCUGCCGAUCAACGAACCAAGUUACCCUAGGGAUAACAGCGCAAUCCCCUUUCAGAGUCCAUAUCGACAAGGGGGUUUACGACCUCGAUGUUGGAUCAGGACAUCCUAAUGGUGCAGCCGCUAUUAAGGGUUCGUUUGUUCAACGAUUAAAGUCCUACGUGAUCUGAGUUCAGACCGGA
rnacentral:rRNA from 1 species